rnacentral:rRNA from 1 species
GUACGGCCGCAAGGUUAAAACUCAAAUGAAUUGACGGGGGCCCGCACAAGCGGUGGAGCAUGUGGUUUAAUUCGAUGCAACGCGAAGAACCUUACCUGGUCUUGACAUCCACGGAAGUUUUCAGAGAUGAGAAUGUGCCUUCGGGAACCGUGAGACAGGUGCUGCAUGGCUGUCGUCAGCUCGUGUUGUGAAAUGUUGGGUUAAGUCCCGCAACGAGCGCAACCCUUAUCCUUUGUUGCCAGCGGUCCGGCCGGGAACUCAAAGGAGACUGCCAGUGAUAAACUGGAGGAAGGUGGGGAUGACGUCAAGUCAUCAUGGCCCUUACGACCAGGGCUACACACGUGCUACAAUGGCGCAUACAAAGAGAAGCGACCUCGCGAGAGCAAGCGGACCUCAUAAAGUGCGUCGUAGUCCGGAUUGGAGUCUGCAACUCGACUCCAUGAAGUCGGAAUCGCUAGUAAUC